rnacentral:rRNA from 1 species
UACGAAGGGGGGCUAGCGUUGCUCGGAAUCACUGGGCGUAAAGGGUGCGUAGGCGGGUCUUUAAGUCAGGGGUGAAAUCCUGGAGCUCAACUCCAGAACUGCCUUUGAUACUGAAGAUCUUGAGUUCGGGAGAGGUGAGUGGAAUUCCCCAGUGUAGAGGUGAAAGUUCGUAGAUAUUGGGAAGAACACCGGUGGCGAAGGCGGCUCACUGGCUCAUUACUGACGCUCAGGCGCGAUAGCGUGGGGAUCAAACAGG